GGGGGUAGUUGGCGGUCUGGUGACGCUCCUGGACUUCAAAUCCAGUGGUGGGCGCGAUCCGUCCACGGUGGGUUCGAUUCCCAUCUACUCCCGCCA
rnacentral:tRNA from 1 species